ensembl:snRNA U6 U6 spliceosomal RNA
GUACUAUGCUUGCUCCUGCAGUACAUAUACUAAGAUGGGAAUGAUACAGAGAUUAGCACAGUCCCUUUGCAAGGAUGACACACAAAUUUCUAAAGCAUUCCAUGCAUGU